CAUCGAUCUCGCCGCCCCCAGUUUCUCUCCUUACCAAGUCACCAUCUCGCCUUCUCAAGUCCUCCACAGCAGCAAGCGAGCAAGCCACCUCCACCUCAGUACACUUAUCCGAAUCUUUACGCCGGAGUGAUCAGUAGCAAACAUUAUGAAGAGGCAAUCAAAAUCUGCUGCUACUAGUUCCGGUGCUAAUCCGAAAUCAACUUCUUCAUCUCAGGUACCAAUCUAAAUCUCUACAGUUUGUUUUUCUGUAACUAUCAAC